ACCUAAUAGAUACCCAGGUAGUCCACGCCCUAAACGAUGCGAACUGGAUGUUGGGUACAUUACGGUACUCAGUGUCGAAAGCUAAACGCGUUAAGUUCGCCGCCUGGGGAGUACGGUCGCAAGACUGAAACUCAAAGGAAUUGACGGGGGCCCGCACAAGCGGUGGAGUAUGUGGUUUAAUUCGAUGCAACGCGAAGAACCUUACCUGGCCUUGACAUCUGUCGAAUCCUGCAGAGAUGCGGGAGUGCCGCAAGGAACGACAAGACAGGUGCUGCAUGGCUGUCGUCAGCUCGUGUCGUGAGAUGUUGGGUUAAGUCCCGCAACGAGCGCAACCCUUGUCCCUAGUUGCCAGCACAUCAUGGUGGGAACUCUAGGGAGACUGCCGGUGACAAACCGGAGGAAGGUGGGGAUGACGUCAAGUCCUCAUGGCCCUUA
rnacentral:rRNA from 1 species